rnacentral:rRNA from 1 species
UGAGUAAUGCGUAGGAAUCUACCUAGUAGUACGGAAUAGCCAUUAGAAAUGGUGGGUAAUACUGUAUAAUCCCCGAGGGGGAAAGAUUUAUCGCUAUUAGAUGAGCCUACGUUAGAUUAGCUAGUUGGUGAGGUAAUGGCUUACCAAGGCUAUGAUCUAUAGCUGGUCUGAGAGGACGAUCAGCCACACUGGAACUGAGAUACGGUCCAGACUCCUACGGGAGGCAGCAGUGGGGAAUAUUGGACAAUGGGCGAAAGCCUGAUCCAGCUAUGCCGCGUGAGUGAAGAAGGCCUUCGGGUUGUAAAACUCUUUCA